GCCUGGAUGGCUCAGUGGUUGAGCAUCUGCCUUUGGCUCAGGUCAUGAUCCUGGGGUCCUGGGAUCGAGUCCCACAUCGGGCU
rnacentral:tRNA from 1 species